ACCUUAUCAAGAGAGGCGGAGGGAUAGGCCCUGUGAAGCCCAGCAACCACCCAUUAGGGAAAAGGUGCUAAGUCCUACAAGAUUUUAUAUCUUGAGAGAUGAGGU
rnacentral:ncRNA from 1 species